UAGGCGGACAGCAAGUUAUGUGACGUACAAUCCGGAUAUGAAAAGACUAUGACUUAUAUGCUGCCAGCUAUGGCAGGUGCUAACGUGCUUUACGGCUCAG
rfam:Acetohalobium arabaticum DSM 5501, complete genome.